rnacentral:tRNA from 1 species
GACUCUGUGGCGCAAUGGUAGCACGUCUGACUCCAGAUCAGAAGGUUGCGUGUUCGAAUCACGUCAGGGUCA